GUGGGAGACCCAGGUUCAAGUCCCUUCUCAGAUUCUCUCUGUCUCUCCUAUUGGUGCUGUUUUACUUUGUGUAAAUAAUUAAAUAUUGAUUAAGCUGGGACUUGGAUCUCUCACAUCCCAGGUAAGUUCCCUAACCAACUGGUUGUUGGCUAUUCUUGGGAGAGGGACUGGAAUCCAUCUGUCGCUCUGUUGCGCACGCUCAUUUUUUGUGAAAAAAAAUUUGAAAGGGUCCUAGGUUUCGUCCUAAUGCAGAAUGGAAACAUCUCUCUAAACAGCGUUCAGAGAAUGGCAGAACUGACUUUGUGCUUAGCCUCUGGAUGCACCUGGCAUAUCUGUACUGAUUUAAAGUCAUUAUUUUAGACUGCAAAUAGUACUUUCACUGGAGAUUUAACAGAUUAUUAACCCUUGUACACAGUACUCUUUAUCCCAGGGUUUUUAAAUGUGGGAGCUAAGUUUACUCUUCUCCAUUCCCUCUACUUUUGCCUCACUUCCUGCUCCAGCACUCUUUCCUUCCUCAGCUCAGUAAACGAGGCUGCUCUCCUCAGCCCAGCUUCAAGCUGCUCUCUCUGCCAGUUCCUGCCCAGCCUGUUUUACUAUGUUUCUGGCCAAAAAGGAUUCAGGACCAGUCUGGAUCUGUGAGCAGAAGGCAGUGGAGGAGAUGGGAUCAGUUUGGUCUCACUCACUAUACUUGCCCCUCCUUCCAGCAAGGUGGAUUUAAAAAAAAAAUCCCUUUUUUAAAAAUAAAAAAUCUUUUUUUUUUUAGCUGACUAGAUUUUACCUUUUACAAAAACGUAUUUAAAAUUAAAUUUGAAAUUAUGCUAACCUAUGUUAAGACCUAACUUUACUAUAGUGCAUUAAAAUCAUUUAAAUUAAAUAAAAAAUAAUAUUCAAGCAAUACCUAUUUGUUGCUGAAUUUUAAAGAAAGUCAGACCACUGAACUGAUGGAAGUCACUGGCUAAGUACCUGGAACUAGAGUUUGUUUAAAGGCUAAACCAACUUUUGAUAGUGGUAGAUUCUUCUACAUGUGCAGAAGAGAGUAUUUUCUUCAUUUCAGUUUAUCCCACUAAUUCAGUUCAAUGACUACCUAAAGUUAAGAAACUGACUGAGAGUAGAAAAAACAGAGAAAGCUUGUUUUCCACUUUAAAUCUAUUAGGUGGGAGAGGAUGGGGUCUAAAAUUGUGAAGACAAUGGUGACCAGAAACAAUAACUUCAAUUCACUAACUACACAUAAUUAUUAUUUAUUUAUAUUACCAUAACACCUAGGAGGCCUAGUCAUUGCUUCCUUUUUAUAAUAAUCAAUUCACAUUAAAUCCAAAACAUGUUUUGAUAGACUUGCUUUUUGUUUGUAUUCAGCACAGUUAAAGUAGUUCCAUUUAACUAAUAAAACCACAAUUUUACAGUUCUAUUUGAAUUUUUAAUUGAAUUCCAAUUUUUAUCCAGGUAGGAUUUGACAAAAAUCAGGGUAAAAAAAAUUAAUCAAGUAAAUCAGAAAUGCAUAAUUCACCACUUUCUAACAAUAGAAAUGUGAAAAUUAAGAAUCUGAAUAAAUUUGUGUUAAGCUACAUAAUUGCUUGAAUGAAUGUAUGCAAAUAUAGUGUAUCCUGGUUA